ACGCUGGCGGCAGGCCUAACACAUGCAAGUCGAGCGGUAGAGAGAAGCUUGCUUCUCUUGAGAGCGGCGGACGGGUGAGUAAUGCCUAGGAAUCUGCCUGGUAGUGGGGGAUAACGUUCGGAAACGGACGCUAAUACCGCAUACGUCCUACGGGAGAAAGCAGGGGACCUUCGGGCCUUGCGCUAUCAGAUGAGCCUAGGUCGGAUUAGCUAGUUGGUGGGGUAAUGGCUCACCAAGGCGACGAUCCGUAACUGGUCUGAGAGGAUGAUCAGUCACACUGGAACUGAGACACGGUCCAGACUCCUACGGGAGGCAGCAGUGGGGAAUAUUGGACAAUGGGCGAAAGCCUGAUCCAGCCAUGCCGCGUGUGUGAAGAAGGUCUUCGGAUUGUAAAGCACUUUAAGUUGGGAGGAAGGGUUGUAGAUUAAUACUCUGCAAUUUUGACGUUACCGACAGAAUAAGCACCGGCUAACUCUGUGCCAGCAGCCGCGGUAAUACAGAGGGUGCAAGCGUUAAUCGGAAUUACUGGGCGUAAAGCGCGCGUAGGUGGUUAGUUAAGUUGGAUGUGAAAUCCCCGGGCUCAACCUGGGAACUGCAUUCAAAACUGACUGACUAGAGUAUGGUAGAGGGUGGUGGAAUUUCCCUGUGUAGCGGUGAAAUGCGUAGAUAUAGGAAGGAACACCAGUGGCGAAGGCGACCACCUGGACUGAUACUGACACUGAGGUGCGAAAGCGUGGGGAGCAAAC
rnacentral:rRNA from 1 species